rnacentral:rRNA from 1 species
GACGAACGCUGGCGGCGUGCUUAACACAUGCAAGUCGAACGGAAAGGCCCUGCUUUUGUGGGGUGCUCGAGUGGCGAACGGGUGAGUAACACGUGAGUAACCUGCCCUUGACUUUGGGGUAACUUCAGGAAACUGGGGCUAAUACCGGAUAGGAGCUCCUGCUGCAUGGUGGGGGUUGGAAAGUUUCGGCGGUUGGGGAUGGACUCGCGGCUUAUCAGCUUGUUGGUGGGGUAGUGGCUUACCAAGGCUUUGACGGGUAGCCGGCCUGAGAGGGUGACCGGCCACAUUGGGACUGAGAUACGGCCCAGACUGCUACGGGAGGCAGGAGGGGGGAAUAUAGCACAAUGGGCGGAAGCCUGAUGCAGGAACGCCGCGUGCGUGAUGACGGCCUUCGGGUUGUAAACCGCUUUCGCCUGUGACGAAGCGUUAGUGACGGUAAUGGGUAAAGAAGCACCGGCUAACUACGUG